GGAAGAGCUGUAGCUCAGUGGUAGGGCAUCUGCCUUGCACACAGAAGGUCCCAGGUUCUAUUCCAAGUGUUUCCA